GCCCGUGUGGCUCAGUGGGUAGAGCGUCGACCUGCGGACCAAAGGGUCCCGGGUUCGAUUCCGGUCAAGGGCA
rfam:Myotis lucifugus cont2.60144, whole genome shotgun sequence.